UGAAAAAGAAGACUGGGAUGUGGACAAAGCUGCUGUCUUUGUCUUAUAUGGGCCAAGAUAAAGCAUCCAGUGAAAAGGUUGCCAUCCAUCUUCAUCCCGCCUGGCAUGUGCUUCAGUCACUUCCGCCCUCAGUGCAGCCUGUGUCUUUUCUGCUUCAUCCUUUCAUCUCAGGCUCCCACGCAUUUCAGGUCAUUGGGGAAGCAAUCGUCUUAAGUGUUCUGGCUGACAAUGAGAGCUGAUGAGAAACCUUCCUGUGAGCGUUGGCUGGCUAAGGUGUCUGCCUCUCAAGAGCUGCAUCAUUUCUUCCUGACGUGUCAACUCUCUACAAAGCUGUGAACCGAGGAAGUGGCUCUGGGAAAAUGCCACAGAAGCCCCAUGUCAGACGUCGCUCAUGCUGAGAGUGUGUUUGUCAAAGGUAUUGUGUGUGUGUGUAUGUGUCUCAGG